GAAGGGGGCUAGCGUUGCUCGGAAUUACUGGGCGUAAGGGGCGCGUAGGCGGUACAGUUUAGUCAGAGGUGAAAGCCCCAGGGCUCAACCUUGGAAUUGCCUUUGAUACUGACUGUCUUGAGUACGGGAGAGGUGUGUGGAACUCCGAGUGUAGAGGUGAAAUUCGUAGAUAUUCGGAAGAACACCAGUGGCGAAGGCGACACACUGGCCCGUUACUGACGCUGAGGCGCGAAAGCGUGGGGAGCAAACAGGAUAGAUACCCUGGUAGUCCACGCCGUAAACGAUGAGUGCUAGUUGUCGGCAUGCAUGCAUGUCGGUGACGCAGCUAACGCAUUAAGCACUCCGCCUGGGGAGUACGGUCGCAAGAUUAA
rnacentral:rRNA from 1 species